UACGAAGGGGGCUAGCGUUGCUCGGAAUUACUGGGCGUAAAGGGCGCGUAGGCGGAUGUUUAAGUCGGGGGUGAAAGCCCGGGGCUCAACCUCGGAAUUGCCUUCGAUACUGGACAUCUUGAGUACGGGAGAGGUGAGUGGAACUGCGAGUGUAGAGGUGAAAUUCGUAGAUAUUCGCAAGAACACCAGUGGCGAAGGCGGCUCACUGGCCCGAUACUGACGCUGAGGCACGAAAGCGUGGGGAGCAAACAGG
rnacentral:rRNA from 1 species